GGUGGUGCAUGGUUGUCGUCAGCUCGUGUCGUGAGAUGUUGGGUUAAGUCCCGCAACUAGCGCAACCCUCAUCCUUAGUUACCAUCAGGUAAUGCUGGGGACUUUAAGGAAACUGCCGGUGACAAACCGGAGGAAGGUGGGGAUGACGUCAAAUCAUCAUGCCCCUUAUGACCUGGGCUACACACGUGCUACAAUGGGAAGUACAACGAGUCGCUAGACCGCGAGGUCAUGCAAAUCUCUUAAAGCUUCUCUCAGUUCGGAUUGCAGGCUGCAACUCGCCUGCAUGAAGCCGGAAUCGCUAGUAAUCGCGGAUCAGCACGCCGCGGUGAAUACGUUCCCGGGUCUUGUACACACC
rnacentral:rRNA from 1 species